AAUAACCAAAUAUAACACUUGGGUUAAGAGUCAGGUUCAUAAUUUUUCUUACAUCUCCACUGUCGAGAGCCAAAGUAUCAUAUACACCUCCAAAAUACAAAUCCUUGAGCCCUGAAAGAAAAACAUUCAAUUCAAAUAAUCCUAUUCAAUAUGGUCCA
rfam:Picea glauca, whole genome shotgun sequence.